rnacentral:sRNA from 22 species
UACUUAGUAUAUUUUGAUAGUAUGCGGAUUAAUAUAACUAUAAUUAACUAUAAUUAAUAGUUAAAGAAAGGGUAG